rnacentral:rRNA from 1 species
GGGGUUAGUACAGUGGCGAACGGGUGAGUAACGCGUGAGUAUCUACUUCUUAGUGGAGGAUACCUUUGGGAAACUGAAGUUAAUCCUGCAUACGCUCCUUCGGGAGGAAAGACGGCCUCUUGCUGUCGCUGAGAAAUGAACUUGCGUCCUAUUAGCUAGUUGGUGGGGUAAAGGCCUACCAAGGCGAUGAUGGGUAGCCGGCCUGAGAGGGUGUACGGCCACAUUGGGACUGAGAUACGGCCCAGACUCC